rnacentral:rRNA from 1 species
UACAGAGGGGGCAAGCGUUGUUCGGAAUUACUGGGCGUAAAGGGCGCGUAGGCGGCCUGUUAAGUCAGACGUGAAAUCCCUCGGCUCAACCGGGGAACUGCGUCUGAUACUGGCGGGCUUGAAUUCGGGAGAGGGAUGUGGAAUUCCAGGUGUAGCGGUGAAAUGCGUAGAUAUCUGGAGGAACACCGGUGGCGAAGGCGGGUCUCUGGGCCGAUAUUGACGCUGAGGAGCGAAAGCGUGGGGAGCAAACAGG